rnacentral:lncRNA from 1 species
GAGACAGCAGUAGUGGGGGCAAGAGGAUGGAAAUUUCCUACUUUAGGUCAGGGAAAUCUCUGAUGAGGAGCAGUGAGGGAGAGGACUGGCCACUCAGUGCAGGAGUGGAGAUGGUUGGGAACUAGGAGACCGUUCUGGGUAAAAGACAGUUUCCUUUUCCAAUUUGCUGACCUUAGGCUCUGGAAGCAUUAGUUUCUACAUUUGUAAAAGGAGGAUAAUUCUACCUUUUCAGGUGACCACAAAGAGCUGGCAUGAGAAUGAGGCAAAAUGACGUGAAAGAGCUUUAUGAACCAUGAAACACAAAAUCCUAAGUUUCCUACUGAGGGAAGAACUUACUGCUAAUUUUCUCUGAUUUUUGUCUAUCCAUUACAUUGAGGUCAGUCUUAGAAGACUCUGCCAUAACCACCUCCUCCGGGGCCAGUACUGGAGUUUCUGAAGAAUUGGACAACGGAGCAGAAGCUUCAGCUAAGGCAGCUAAGGUAGCUGAUACUGACGAAGAGGAGUUUCCAAACUGGACCGCAGACACGCCCGUUUCGUCUGUUGGGAUCACCACCCCUCCGGGUCGGGUGAUGAACCGUGGCGUCGUGGCUGGUAUCGUCACAGUGUCGGGGCUCUCUGGGUUGGUGUUGAUUUGGUUCUGCACAGCAAUCUGUAACAUCUCUGCUAAAUCUUCAUUUGCAUUGUCUAUUGAAAUAAAUAUCAAAUGCAGUUUUACAAAAUUUACUUUGCCUGUGUACAUCAGCGCCAUAGUUAAUUAAAAGUUCCACCACUUCUUAAUCAUUGUGUUGUGUGGCCCAGUGGAGAGCU